rnacentral:tRNA from 1 species
GGAGAGGUGCUCGAGUGGCUGAAGAGGCUCGCCUGGAAAGCGGGUAUACGCCAAAAGCGUAUCGAGGGUUCGAAUCCCUCUCUCUCCG